rnacentral:rRNA from 1 species
UACGUAGGGGGCGAGCGUUUGUCCGGAUUUAUUGGGCGUAAAGAGCGUGUAGGCGGCCUGGUAGGUCUGCUGUGAAAACUCGAGGCUCAACCUCGAGAUGUCGGCGGAAACCAUCUGGCUAGAGUCCGGAAGAGGAGAGUGGAAUUCCCGGUGUAGCGGUGAAAUGCGUAGAUAUCUGGAGGAACACCGGUGGCGAAGGCGGCAUCCUGGACCAAUACUGACGCUGAGGAGCGAAAAGCCAGGGGAGCAAACGGG